GGUUAACUUCAUCUCCUCUUCAUCUUCCCAACAAAGAAGAAUAUAAAAAAGACGAGACAGAAAUUGGGUUUGAGCUGUUUCCACUUUAGAAGAAGAGAGUACUGAGAUUGGAUUGAAGUUAUCCCUAAACCUAUCGAAGAUAUUAUCAUUUUCUCUUCAUCUUAUUAUUCUCUUUAUUAUCUUCUUAUUGGAUUGUAAAUUCAGAAAUGUCAUUGUUGAGAGAGUGAGAUUGAGACUGUGAUUGUUGAGAGUGUGAGAUUGAGAGAAAGAUCAAGGAUUGAGCGAUGGUGGUGGCGAUAGUUCAAUUAGUUGAUUCGGAUUUACAAGUAAAGAAUAGAUGAUUAUAGUCUUGGAGACGCUGUGAUGGUUUUUAGAGAUCAAUUUUGAAGAUUAAAGCAUUUGCUAAGAUUAUGAAGAAUGGGUAUUUUUUAGAACUUGAAUUGGUUUUGGUUAUGAGCUGCAGUUGGUGGUGAUAUGACUGAAGCUGUUAUGAAUGCUAGAUGAAUUACAACGACUGAUAAUGAAUGCACUCCAGGGAGAUGGCUUGCAGUUCGUUAAGUUCAGAUUGGGUCUGAUUAGCAGUUCGUGAGAUAGAGAACGGAGUUUACCAUGAAUGGGUCUGAAACUACAUUUUCCGUUUUAAUGGUGGCGGUGGCGAUACAUAAAAGAAGGAUGCAAAUAUCUUAUGUAAAUGCGCAAGAAAUAGAGGGUAAAACAGUAAAUGCAUAUAUUAUAUAUAUAGAUGUAUAUAAAUGAUGAAAUUAAAAGUAUUAAUAAUUAGACUUAACUGGGUCAA